GCUUUAUCAAUGUUUCAUUCCAAUCAAGUUUGUCCUGACAAAUAAUAAUCGACAAAAAUGUGGCAAAAAUCAUCAAUGUGAUACAAGUAGUACAAUGGAUAUUUCAUUAAGUUUUUUCAAAACUAGGUACAUACUCCAAAUAUCAAGAAGAAGAUUCUGCAACACAUGCUACUUAUUUGACAACUAGAUCACAAACAGGUCUGGCUUCAAUCAUAGGUCCUUCAUACAAGACUAAAUCAAAAGUGCAUCAGAUGAUAUGCAAUAAAUGAAAUAAAUGAGAAAAGCUAUUACCUUCACUACUUGGACAAUAUCAGCAUUAUGACCAUAAGAUGCAGUUUCUUCUGCGUAACUUUGGUCCUCCGCAAUUUUCUGC
rnacentral:lncRNA from 1 species